UUUCUCAGUAGCUUAAUGGUAGAGCGUGCGGCUGUUAACCGCAAUGUUAUAAGUUCAAAUCUUAUCUGAGAAGA
rnacentral:tRNA from 1 species